AGGACGAACGCUGGCGGCGUGCUUAACACAUGCAAGUCGAGCGGUAAGGCCUUUCGGGGUACACGAGCGGCGAACGGGUGAGUAACACGUGGGUGAUCUGCCCUGCACUUCGGGAUAAGCCUGGGAAACUGGGUCUAAUACCGGAUAUGACCUCCUAUCGCAUGGUGGGUGGUGGAAAGAUUUAUCGGUGCAGGAUGGGCCCGCGGCCUAUCAGCUUGUUGGUGGGGUAAUGGCCUACCAAGGCGACGACGGGUAGCCGACCUGAGAGGGUGACCGGCCACACUGGGACUGAGACACGGCCCAGACUCCUACGGGAGGCAGCAGUGGGGAAUAUUGCACAAUGGGCGCAAGCCUGAUGCAGCAACGCCGCGUGAGGGACGACGGCCUUCGGGUUGUAAACCUCUUUUAGUAGGUAAGAAGCGAAAGUGACGGUACCUGCAGAAAAGCAACCGGCUAACACGUGCCAGCAGCCGC
rnacentral:rRNA from 1 species